AUGCUUCAGGGAGUUGAAAAUAAGCAUAGAUCCAGAGAUUCCCGAAUAGGUCAACCUUUCGAACUGCUGCUGAAUCCAUGGGCAAGCAAGAGACAACCUGGAGAACUGAAACAUCUUAGUAGGCAGAGGAAAAGAAAGCAAAAGCGAUUCCUGUAGUAGCAGGGAGCGAAAUGGGAAUAGCCUAAACCGUGAAAACGGGGUUGUGGGAGAGUAAAACAAGCGUCCUGCU
rnacentral:rRNA from 1 species